rnacentral:rRNA from 1 species
CGUGUAGGUGGUUUUGUAAGUAGGGCGUGAAAGCUCCCGGCUCAACUGGGAGAGGCCGUUCUAAACUGCAGAACUAGAGGAUGGUAGAGGGAGGUGGAAUUCCAGGUGUAGCGGUGGAAUGCGCAGAUAUCUGGAGGAACACCAGUGGCGAAAGCGGCCUCCUGGACCAUUCCUGACACUCAGACGCGAAAGCUAGGGUAGCAAACGG